AAGUCGUAACAAGGUCUCCGUUGGUGAACCAGCGGAGGGAUCAUUACAGAGUUGCAAAACUCCAACAAACCAUCGCGAAUCUUACCCGUACGGUUGCCUCGGCGCUGGCGGUCCGGAAGGCUCUCGGGCCCCCCGGAUCCUCGGGUCUCCCGCUCGCGGGAGGCUGCCCGCCGGAGUGCCGAAACCAAACUCUUGAUAUUUUAUGUCUCUCUGAGUAAACUUUUAAAUAAGUCAAAACUUUCAACAACGGAUCUCUUGGUUCUG
rnacentral:misc_RNA from 1 species